AGUGAACGCUGGCGGUAGGCCUAACACAUGCAAGUCGAACGGCAGCACAGUAAGAGCUUGCUCUUACGGGUGGCGAGUGGCGGACGGGUGGGGAAUACAUCGGAAUCUACUUUUUCGUGGGGGAUAACGUAGGGAAACUUACGCUAAUACCGCAUACGACCUACGGGUGAAAGCAGGGGAUCUUCGGACCUUGCGCGAUUGAAUGAGCCGAUGUCGGAUUAGCUAGUUGGCGGGGUAAAGGCCCACCAAGGCGACGAUCCGUAGCUGGUCUGAGAGGAUGAUCAGCCACACUGGAACUGAGACACGGUCCAGACUCCUACGGGAGGCAGCAGUGGGGAAUAUUGGACAAUGGGCGCAAGCCUGAUCCAGCCAUACCGCGUGGGUGAAGAAGGCCUUCGGGUUGUAAAGCCCUUUUGUUGGGAAAGAAAAGCAGCAGGUUAAUACCCCACUGUUCUGACGGUACCCAAAGAAUAAGCACCGGCUAACUUCGUG
rnacentral:rRNA from 1 species